rnacentral:rRNA from 1 species
AUACGAAGGGGGCUAGCGUUGUUCGGAAUUACUGGGCGUAAAGCGCGCGUAGGCGGAUUGGUCAGUUAGGGGUGAAAUCCCAGGGCUUAACCCUGGAACUGCCUCUAAUACUGCCAGUCUUGAGUUCGGGAGAGGUGAGCGGAAUUCCUAGUGUAGAGGUGAAAUUCGUAGAUAUUAGGAAGAACACCAGUGGCGAAGGCGGCUCACUGGCCCGAUACUGACGCUGAGGCGCGAAAGCGUGGGGAGCAAACAGGAUUAGAAACCCUAGUAGUCC